GAUUAUUCCGGUUGAUCCUGCCGGAGGCCAUUGCUAUUGGGAUCCGAUUUAGCCAUGCUAGUCGCACGAGUUCAGACUCGUGGCGAAUAGCUCAGUAACACGUGGCCAAACUACCCUUCGGAACACAAUACCCUCGGGAAACUGAGGCUAAUAGUGUAUACCAUACCACCACUGGAAUGAGUGGUAUGCCAAACGCUCCGGCGCCGAAGGAUGUGGCUGCGGCCGAUUAGGUAGACGGUGGGGUAACGGCCCACCGUGCCAAUAAUCGGUAUGGGUCAUGAGAGUGAGAACCCAGAGACGGAAUCUGAGACAAGAUUCCGGGCCCUACGGGGCGCAGCAGGCGCGAAACCUUUACACUGCACGACAGUGCGAUAGGGGGAUCCCAAGUGCACAGGCAUAGCGCCUGUGCUUUUCGGUACCCUAAGGCGGUACCAGAAUAAGGGCUGGGCAAGACCGGUGCCAGCCGCCGCGGUAAUACCGGCAGCCCAAGUGAUGGCCGAUCUUAUUGGGCCUAAAGCGUCCGUAGCUGGCCGCGCAAGUCCAUCGGGAAAUCCACCUGCUCAACAGGUGGGCGCCCGGUAGAAACUGCGUGGCUUGGGACCGGAAGGCGCGACGGGUACGUCCGGGGUAGGAGUGAAAUCCCGUAAUCCUGGACGGACCGCCGAUGGCGAAAGCACGUCGCGAGGACGGAUCCGACAGUGAGGGACGAAAGCCAGGGUCUCGAACCGGAUUAGAUACCCGGGUAGUCCUGGCCGUAAACAAUGUCUGCUAGGUGUGGCUCCCACUACGAGUGGGUGCUGUGCCGUAGGGAAGCCGCUAAGCAGACCGCCUGGGAAGUACGUCCGCAAGGAUGAAACAAAGGAAUUGGCGGGUGAACACUAAAACCGGAGGAGCCUGCGGUUUAAUUGGACUCAACGCCGGACAUCUCACCAGCAUCGACUGUAAUAAUGACGACCAGGUUGAUGACCUUGUCCGAGUUUCAGAGAGGAGGUGCAUGGCCGCCGUCAGCUCGUACCGUGAGGCGUCCUGUUAAGUCAGGCAACGAGCGAGACCCGCACCCUUACUUGCCAGCAGUACCGCGAGGUAGCUGGGGACAGUAGGGGGACCGCCGUGGCUAACACGGAGGAAGGAACGGGCAACGGUAGGUCAGUAUGCCCCGAAUGUGCUGGGCAACACGCGGGCUACAAUGGUCGAGACAAAGGGUUCCUACUCCGAAAGGAGACGGUAAUCUCAGAAACUCGAUCGUAGUUCGGAUUGUGGGCUGCAACUCGCCCACAUGAAGCUGGAUUCGGUAGUAAUCGCGUGUCACAAGCGCGCGGUGAAUACGUCCCUGCUCCUUGCACACACCGCCCGUCAAAGCACCCGAGUGAGGUCCGGAUGAGGCGUUCCACGAACGUCGAAUCUGGGCUUCGCAAGGGGGCUUAAGUCGUAACAAGGUAGC
rnacentral:rRNA from 1 species